UACAGAGGUGGCAAGCGUUGUUCGGAAUUACUGGGCGUAAAGGGCGCGUAGGCGGCCUUCUAAGUCAGACGUGAAAUCCCCAGGCUUAACUUGGGAACUGCGUCUGAUACUGGGAGGCUUGAGUGCGGGAGAGGGAUGUGGAAUUCCAGGUGUAGCGGUGAAAUGCGUAGAGAUCCGGAAGAACACCGGUGGCGAAGGCGGUGAGCUGGGCAGUUGCUGACACUGAGGCGCGACAGCGUGGGGAGCAAACAGG
rnacentral:rRNA from 1 species